rnacentral:tRNA from 1 species
GAUAAAAUGCCUGAAAAAGGAUUAUCUUGAUAGGAUAAAUCAUGUAUAAACAUACUUUUAUUA